GUGGGGAAUAUUGGGCAAUGGGCGAAAGCCUGACCCAGCAACGCCGCGUGAAGGAAGAAGGUCUUCGGAUCGUAAACUUCUAUCCUUGGUGAAGAUAAUGACGGUAGCCGAGAAGGAAGCCCCGGCUAACUACGUGCCAGCAGCCGCGGUAAUACGUAGGGGGCAAGCGUUGUCCGGAAUGAUUGGGCGUAAAGGGCGCGUAGGCGGCCUGGUAAGUCUGGAGUGAAAGUCCUGCUUUUAAGGUGGGAAUUGCUUUGGAUACUGUCGGGCUUGAGUGCAGGAGAGGUGAGUGGAAUUCCCGGUGUAGCGGUGAAAUGCGUAGAGAUCGGGAGGAACACCAGUGGCGAAGGCGACUUACUGGACUGUAACUGACGCUGAGGCGCGAAAGCGUGGGGAGCAAACAGGAUUAGAAACCCGAGUAGUCC
rnacentral:rRNA from 1 species